UCAGGGCGGAGCGGGGCCUUUGGGACUUAAGCGUCCAAAAUGCAUGAAAGCAGAAUAGGGCGCAGCAAACUGUUCUCGUGUGACAAAUAAAGCCUGACAGCGUUAACUGAGCUAAGCAGCUCAAGAGCAUCUAAGCCGAAUUGGAGCCCGAAAGCUCUUGCAUCAAAGGCUAAGCAUCCAUAGAGAACCAGGCGCAAAAUCUAGAGAAGCACAUCAAACCUCACAUACUAGAACCAGGAUUCUGCAAAUCCCAAGAGAGAAAAUUCUUGAUUGCUUAAAACAAAUUCGGAGAAACACAAAACAUCACCGCGACGCCUAUCUCGCCCAGUUGUUUAGCUCUUGGUGGUCUUCUCCUUGGUCUUCUGGAUCUUAAGCACCUUCUUCACAAUCUUCUGCUCCUCCACCAAAAACGCCCUAAUGAUCCUGCACAGCACGAAAAAAAUCAGCUUAGCUCACCAGCAAAUUUAUCAAGUAUCACUUGUUUUGAUUGAAUGAUGGUUACCUCUCCCUGACUGCAGGACCAGACAGAACACCACCAUAAGGACGGUUCACAGUCCUCCUGUUCCUCGACAAUCUGGACCUCUUGUACUCAGUAGGCCUCAGGUGUGGGAUCUGCAGUUUAGCAUAUCAAACUUCCAUGAGAAUGAGAAAAUGCCAUGGUGGUUACUAAGGCAGUAUAAUGUACCAACAAGGCGAGGCAUAAACUUAUGAUUCAGCGGGAACUUGCUAUUCUAUCUGCGGUAUUUAGCCACCACUAUCUAGCAGCAUAUAUAGCAUAUACCUACUGUAGGUAGAAGUGGUCCAGCAGCAGUUCACGAUUACAAGCAUAGAUGAUUUCACUUGUAAAUGGCUCAAUGAUACCUAUUAGGGGUUGUUUGGAACGGGUGUAAAAUAGCUAAGCACCGGUGGCCACACAAAUUUUACAACCACUCCAAGCAUAAGCGCCCAGCACAUAAGAGUAGACAAAUGGUACUAAUGACUAUCUCCGCAAAGUAUGAACAUAAUGCACAUAUGGUGGACACCCCUCAAUAAGCAAAUCACAAAGAAUGUAGUCCUUCGAAAAGUAAAGGGACCCUUCCACAUAAAAGUACAGAAAUAUGAAGUAAAAGUCAGAAGAUUGCUAGUUAAAAGAGAAGAUUUUUGGACUAACAUCAUAGUAAUCAAAAAAUAUUAUCAUUUGAACUAUGCAAGAAUAGACCAUCUGAGUAGUACAACUUUGUGGUGAGUGCAAAUGCAAAAAACAAAAGGAGCCACCAGACAGAUAUCACAAUGAGGCUUCUACAACAAACCUAAGCAAAUGAUAAUAUGAUAUUGCAAGGACCUCAUAGAGAAGAUUAGGCCUAAUUCACAUAAAAUUAGGACAUAUGCUUGUCAUGUUUCACUGUAAUCAUACCCCUACUAAUAUGUCAGAAAAUGCUCUCAGCAACAAAAAUGAAGCUGAACUGACAGUAUAAAGUUCAUGCUAGAUUCAAAAUACAAAUGCAUAAUAACCCACUAAGCAUAAAUUACAGAGUUAUACACUGAAGCAUUGGAAGAGAGAACAAACAGUCAAAAACCAUGUUCAUGUCACGAGAAGAAUUGGUUUCCAGACAAGAACACAAUUAAGAGAGACGAAUCAAAGGAUACAGUAUGGGAAGAAAUAGCAAUGCGAUUUACCAACAAAAAACAGCACACAAUUGACACAGCAUGCAAAGUACAAGGACGUACCAAACUCAUAAUUCAAAAUUAGCUAACAUAGACAGUUUAAUUUAAUAAAUCAGUCUAUGAACGGUAAAUUCACCCGCAGUAUGGUCAGAGCUGACAAAUUGAGCAUACCCAAAGGUAUAGAACAUGAUUCAGCAAGAAUUAGCACUGCUUCAACAAUAGUAAUCCCCACUUCACACAUCAACAUCAAACGAAAAAAUCUGAAGGAAAACAUUGGCACAUUCCAUGGGGCAAGACUCAAAUGUAGGGUUUUUUGUUUGGAUUUUAACUGUAUGUAUUUAUAUCAGCAACCACUUCGCUGAAAUGCAGGCUGCAUCUGAGCGCAUGGUGCAUACAACGCAUGAAAUCUAAUGAAAUUACAGGUUAAAAAAUGGAGAAUGGAACACAUACUCCUUGGAUCUUCUUGCCGGUAACCGGGCAUUUUGGCCCACUCGCCCGCUUCUUGGUGUACUGGUAGACAAGCUUCCCACCUAAUAAUCAGUAACACAUCAAGAAAACUCUUGAGUUGAGAUCCUGGAAGAAGACCCCAAAUUUUUUUACCCAAGAUGAACUGUCAAGGGAGCGGUAAGGACACAUGUAAAAUUCAAGCCUAAAUCCAACACAUACACGAGCAGCAGCAAUACUAUCCAGACAGUUUCAAGACUAAAACACAGGAGCGAGCAAAAGCAGGCGCCGCUGAUCUCCCUAACCUGGGGUCUUGACGACGCGAGUCUGAUUCGACUUGGUGGCGUAGCUGUGGCGCUUUCGGUAUGUCAGCCGCUGCACCAUCUCGCCGCCCUCUCCCGGAGUUCUCUCGCCGCUUGCUCUUUCGCUCCCGCUGUCUGUAACGAGGCGGCGCCGAAGGGAAGUGAGGGCUGGGGAGAAAGAAGAGCUUUUAUAGGGCUGUAGGUGGUCCGGGUGACCUAGAUCCAACGGUGGAGGACGCUUUGCCAAGUGAGCCGACGGCUCUGUGUUUGUUUUUCAUGAUUAUUAAUCCAAACCGCUUUUAGAUGGAAAAUACCCAAUUGAACCAUGUUCGGGAGCCAACGUUGUUAGCACCCCUUUAUCCAAAGGGAAACGUUUAAAAAUGGCGCACCAUGCGAAUCUUCCGUCGAACGAGCGUCACGCUGGCGUCGUGCAUCCAUGCGAAGCCACCCCGCGCGGGACGUAUGUAUUCUGGUGGACCCGCGCGGACCGCCCCUUCCUUAUCUUAUCCUUUUGCAUUCCAUCCCCUACCUUCGGCCAUUUCCCUCGUCGUGUCGUGUUUCUUCUCUGCCUUCCAUCUCCUCCACUACUCAUCCCCUUUCUUCUUCCCUGCAGCAAAAUACGACCGGGGGGCACCAAAAAGGUCGCCGUCGACGCGCCCUGACCGCUCCAAGCAACCUUGCGGCAACUGCGAAGUGAACGCCAUGGCUGGCUUCGAGCGCUCUUCUCCAUGGCCGUCGCAGCCGGACGCGCUAGUAGCCAUGGCUGGCUUUCGUUUUCCUGUCGUGAGAGCUGCAUCCCAGCUGACGGUGGCGAUGCUGGAACCGUUCCAGCGAUGAACGAAAAUCGGCAAGGCGAAUAUACAAGAGGUGCCGGAACCCACUGACUGGAAAGCUGCAACCGGCCACACGAUAUGCUGGAAGCAGUGUUCCCUGGAGCUGGAACCAUCAUCCAUUUUUGAUGGAAUCAGCAGCCACCGGUGGUGAAGACGACGAGGUACAGUGCUACUACCAGGGAGUUCUUUUGCUGGAACCAGAUCCUGGAGAUGUUGGAACCAUCUUCUUUUUUUGCUGCAACCAAGCAGCUGCCGGGGUAAAGACGAUGAGGUAUGGUGCUACUACCAUACGAUUUUUUGCUGGAACCGGGCGGAGAAAAAGUUGCAUCCGCUAUCGAUUGGUGAUGCAAUGGGACGGUGUUGAGAUGUGUUUUGUUGGAACCGGCAAAAAAUUUGCUGGAACCCGUAAGAAUUUUUGCUGGAAGGAUACAUAGAAAUUUGCAACAGCCAGCGCAACUUUGGGUCUUUUGUUGGAUUCGGUUUUUUUUGCUGCAACCAGCAUGUGAUUUUGCUACUACUGACAAACUAAUGGAGUUUUGCGUUUUUGCUUUUUUUGUUGAGGACACGGUGGUGCGAACCGAACAACGGCGAUGAGCGGAGGCGGUGGUGGUGGCUCAGGGAUGUUGCAACCACGGUGGCACGGGCUGGAACCAGUCGGCAGGCGAGCUGCAUUUUAAUAAUGAAACAUGGGCAUCUGUUGACGGCGAGCGGCAGCAGAGAGCACGGCGGCGGCUGUCGACGGCGACAAACGGGGGAGGGCAGCCGGGCGCUGUGUUGCACGACGCGGCGAUGACGGGGCGGCCGCCAUGGCCUGCGGUGUUUCUUCGGAUCUGAAACGUGGACAGAGAUGAGAAGGAAGGAGACGACCUGGAUGAACGAGCAUCCAACGGCUCAGGUGAAGGAAAUAUGCCCUAGAGGCAAUAAUAAAGUUAUUAUUUAUUUCCUUAUAUCAUGAUAAAUGUUUAUUAUUCAUGCUAUAAUUGUAUUAACCGGAAACAUAAUACUUGUGUGAAUACAUAGACAAAUAGAGUGUCACUAGUAUGCCUCUACUUGACUAGCUCGUUGAUCAAAAAUGGUUAUGUUUCCUAGCCAUAGACAUGAGUUGUCAUUUGAUUAACGGGAUCACAUCAUUAGGAGAAUGAUGUGAUUGACUUGACCCAUGCUGUUAGCUUAGCACUCGAUCGUUUAGUAUGUUGCUAUAGCUUUCUUCAUGACUUAUACAUGUUCCUGUGACUAUGAGAUUAUGCAACUCCCAUUUACAGGAGGAACACUUUGUGUGCUACCAAAUGUCACAACGUAACUGGGUGAUUAUAAAGGUGCUCUACAGGUGUCUCCGAAGGUAUUUGUUGGGUUAGCGUAUUUCGAGAUUAGGAUUUGUCACUCCGAUUGUCGGAGAGGUAUCUCUGGGCCCACUCGGUAAUGCACAUCACUUAAGCCUUGCAAGCAUUACAACUAAUGAGUUAGUUGCGGGAUGAUGUAUUACGGAACGAGUAAAGAAACUUUCCGGUAACGAGAUUGAACUAGGUAUUUGAAAGUGCAACUAUCCCUAGGUGGUUUUGGUAAUUCCUAACAACAUAUAGCUCAUUGAGCUAAUGCUAUUUCAAGAUUAAUAUCUCAGGAAAGCUCAAUGAUUGGCAUGGCAUGGAUGAGAAAAGUGGACCCCUCAAAAUGCUAAGGACAAAGGAUUGGCUCAAGCUCAAAGCUCAAGACUCUACAUUUUCUAUUUUAGUGAUCUAAGAUCACAUUGAAUCUAUAGGAAAGGCCAAUACUAUCAAGGAGGGAUAAGGUGUUGCUUAAUGAGGCUCUUGCUCAAAAUGCUUAGUAAUAUGCUCCAAAACCCUCAACUACUUUCUCACAUCCACAUAUGACCUAAACCAAAAGUCAAACUCGGCCCCACUGAUUCUUUCUAUCCGGCGCCACCGAGUUUCAAAUGUCAUAGCCACUGCCACAAACCCUAGGCAAAUCGGUCUCACCGAUAGGGAUCUCGGUCUCACCGAGAUGGGAUUGUAAUCUCUCUGUUUCCCUUCGUAACAUUUCGGUCUUACCGAGAUGAGCAAUCGGUCCCACCGAGAUUGCAAUGUAAACUCUUUGUUUCCCCUUCGUAACGUUUCGGUCUCACCGAAAUAAGCGAUCGGUCCCACCGAGUUUACCUGACCAACUCUCUGGUUAGCUUAUUACCAAAAUCGGUCUCACCGAGUUUGUGAAAUCGGUCUCACCGAGUUUGUGAAAUCGGUCUCACCGAGAUUACGUUAUGCCCUAACCCUAAUCAUAUUGGUCCUACCGAGUUGCAUGUCGUCACUAGCUUUGCUGAAUCGGUCCGACCGAGUUUAACUAUUCGGUCCCACUGUUGGAAAUAUGCCCUAGAGGCAAUAAUAAAAGCAUUAUUAUUAUAUUUCUUUGUUCAUGAUAAUUGUCUUUAUUCAUGCUAUAAUUGUGUUAUCCGGAAAUCGUAAUACAUGUGUGAAUAACAGACACCAACAUGUCCCUAGUAAGCCUCUAGUUGACUAGCUCGUUGAUCAAUAGAUAGUCAUGGUUUCCUGGCUAUGGACAUUGGAUGUCAUUGAUAACGGGAUCACAUCAUUAGGAUAAUGAUGUGAUGGACAAGACCCAAUCCUAAACAUAGCACAAGAUCGUAUAGUUCGUUUGCUAGAGUUUUUGCAAUGUCAAAGUAUCUCUUCCUUCGACCAUGAGAUCGUAUAACUCCUGGAUACCGUAGGAGUGCUUUGGGUGUAUCAAACGUCACAACGUAACUGGGUGACUAUAAAGGUGCACUACAGGUAUCUCCGAAAGUAUCUAUUGUUUUAUAUGGAUCGAGACUGGGAUUUGUCACUCCGUAUGACGGAGAGAUAUCACUGGGCCCACUCAGUAAUGCAUCAUCAUAAUGAGCUCAAAGUGACCAAGUGUUUGGUCACGGGAUCAUGCAUUACGGUACGAGUAAAGUGACUUGUCGGUAACAAGAUUGAACGAGGUAUUGGGAUACCGACGAUCGAAUCUCGGGCAAGUAACAUAUCGAUUGACAAAGGGAAUUGCAUACGGGUUUGAUUAAAUCCUCGACAUCGUGGUUCAUCCGAUAAGAUCAUCGUGGAGCAUGUGGGAGCCAACAUGGGUAUCCAGAUCCCGCUGUUGGUUAUUGACCGGAGAGCGAUCUCGGUCAUGUCUACAUGUCUCCCGAACCCGUAGGGUCUACACACUUAAGGUUCAGUUACGCUAGGGUUGUAGGGAUAUGUAUAUGCAGUAACCCGAAUGUUGUUCGGAGUCCCGGAUGAGAUCCCGGACGUCACGAGGAGUUCCGGAAUGGUCCGGAGGUAAAGAUUUAUAUAUGGGAAGUCCUGUUUCGGGCAUCGGGACAAGUUUCGGGGUUAUCAGUAUUGUACCGGGACCACCGGAGGGGUCCCGGGGGCUCACCGGGUGGGGCCACCCAUCCCCGGGGGCCACAUGGGCUGUAGGGGGUGCGCCUUGGCCUGCUUGGGCCAAGGGCACCAGCCCCACAUAGGCCCAUGCGCCUAGGGUUCAAGGGGGCAAGAGUCCUAGGAGGGUAAGGCACCUCCUAGGUGCCUUGGGGGGGAGGGAAACCCCCCCUUGGCCGCCGCACCCCCUAGGAGAUUGGAUCUCCUAGGGCCGGCCACCCCCCCUUGGCACCCCUAUAUAUAGUGGGGGAGAGGAGGGACUUCAUACCUUGAGUCCUUGGCCUUUGGUUGCCUCCUUCUCCCUCCCCAACACCUCCUCCACCUCCUUAUUGCUUAGCGAAGCUCUGCCGGAGUACUGCAGCUCCAUCAACACCACGUCGUCGUGCUGCUGCUGGUGCCAUCUCCCUCAACCUCUCCUCCCUCCCUUGCUGGAUCAAGAAGGAGGAGACGUGGCUGUUUCCGUACGUGUGUUGAACGCGGAGGUGCCGUCCGUUCGGUGCUAGGAUCUCCGGUGAUUCGAAUCACGUCGUGUUCGACUACAUCAUCCCCGUUCUUUGAACGCUUCCGCUCGCGAUCUACAAAGGUAUGUAGAUGCAUCUAAUCACUCGUUGCUAGAUGAACUCCUAGAUGAUCUUGGUGAAACGAGUAGGAAAUUUUUUGUUUUCUGCAACGUUCCCCAACAGUGGCAUCAUGAGCUAGGUCUAUGCGUAGUUCUUCUUGCACGAGUAGAACACAAUUGGUUGUGGGCGUAGAUUUGUCAACUUUCUUGCCGCUACUAGUCUUAUCUUGCUUCAGCGGUAUUGUGGGAUGAAGCGGCCCGGACCAACCUUACACGUACGCUUACGUGAGACCGGUUCCACCGACUAACAUGCACAAGUUGCAUAAGGUGGCUGGCGGGUGUCUGUCUCUCCUACUUUAGUUGAAGCGGAUUCGAUGAAAAGGGUCCUUACGAAGGGUAAAUAGAAAUUGACAAAUCACGUUGUGGUUUCACGUAGGUAAGAAAACGUUCUUGCUAGAACCCUACUUCAGCCACGUAAAACUUGCAAACAACAAUUAGAGGACGUCUAACUUGUUUUUGCAGCAAGUGCUUUGUGAUAUGAUAUGGCCAAAGUUGUGAUGAAUGAUGAAUGAUCUAUAUGUCAUGUAUGAGAUGUUCAUGCUAUUGUAAUAGGAAUCACGACUUGCAUGUCGAUGAGUAUGACAACCGGCAGGAGCCAUAGGAGUUGUCUUUAUUUUUGUAUGACCUGCGUGUCAUUAAAGAACGCCAUGUAAACUACUUUACUUUAUUACUAAAUGCGUUAGUCAUAGAAGUAGAAGUAGUCGUUGGCGUGACAACUUCAUGAAGACACGAUGAUGGAGAUCAUGAUGAUGGAGAUCAUGGUGUCAUGCCGGUGACAAGAUGAUCAUGGAGCCCCGAAGAUGAAGAUCAAAGGAGCUAUAUGAUAUUGGCCAUAUCAUGUCACUACUUAUAUAAUUGCAUGUGAUGUUUAUUAUGUUUUAUGCAUCUUGUUUACUUAGAACGACGGUAGUAAAUAAGAUGAUCCCUUACAAAAUUUCAAGAAGUGUUCUCCCCUAACUGUGCACCGUUGCUACAGUUCGUCGUUUCGAAGCACCACGUGAUGAUCGGGUGUGAUAGAUUCUUACGUUCACAUACAACGGGUGUAAGACAGUUUUACACAGCGAAAACACUUAGGGUUAACUUGACGAGCCUAGCAUGUACAGACAUGGCCUCGGAACACGGAGACCGAAAGGUCGAACACGAGUCGUAUGGAAGAUACGAUCUACAUGAGAAUGUUCACCGACGAUGACUAGUCCGUCUCACGUGAUGAUCGGACACGGCCUAGUGGACUCGGAUCGUGUAACACUUAGAUGACCAAAGGGAUGUCAAAUCUGAGUGGGAGUUCAUUAUAAUUUGAUUAGAUGAACUUAAUUAUCAUGAACUUAGUCUAAAAUUUUACAAUAUGUCUUGUAGAUCAAAUGGCCAACGUAGUCCUCAACUUCAACGCGUUCCUAGAGAAAACCAAGCUGAAAGACGAUGGCAGCAACUAUACGGACUGGGUCCGGAACCUGAGGAUCAUCCUCAUAGCUGCCAAGAAAGAUUAUGUCCUACAAGCACCGCUAGGUGAUGCACCUGUUCUCCCUGCAGAACAAGACGUUAUGAACGCUUGGCAGGCACGUUCUGAUGACUACUCCCUCGUUCAGUGCGGCAUGCUUUACAGCUUAGAGCCGGGGCUCCAAAAGCGUUUUGAGAGACAUGGAGCAUAUGAGAUGUUCGAAGAGCUGAAAAUGGUUUUCCAAGCUCAUGCCCGGGUCGAGAGAUAUGAAGUCUCUGACAAAUUCUUCAGCUGUAAGAUGGAGGAAAAUAGUUCUGUCAGUGAGCACAUACUCACUAUGUCUGGGUUACAUAACCGCUUGACUCAGCUGGGGGUUAAUCUCCCGGAUGAUGCGGUCAUUGACAGAAUCCUCCAGUCGCUUCCACCGAGCUACAAGAGCUUUGUGAUGAACUUCAAUAUGCAGGGGAUGGAAAAGACCAUUCCUGAGGUAUUUGCUAUGCUGAAAUCAGCAGAGGUAGAAGUCAGAAAGGAACAUCAAGUGUUGAUGGUCAAUAAAACCACUAAGUUCAAGAAGGGCAAGGGUAAAAAGAACUUCAAGAAGGACGGCAAGGUAGUUGCCGCGCCCAGCAAGCAAGCUGCCGGGAAGAAGCCAAAGAAUGGACCCAAGCCCGAGACUGAGUGUUUUUAUUGCAAGGAAAGUGGUCACUGGAAGCGGAACUGCCCCAAAUACUUAGCGGACAAGAAGGCCGGCAAAACCAAAGGUAUAUUUGAUAUACAUGUAAUUGAUGUGUACCUUACCAGUAAUCGUAGUAACUCCUGGGUAUUUGAUACCGGUGCCGUUGCUCAUAUUUGUAACACACAACAGGAGCUGCGGAAUAAACGGAGACUGGCGAAGGACGAGGUGACGAUGCGCGUCGGGAAUGGUUCCAAGGUCGAUGUGAUCGCCGUCGGCACGCUACCUCUACAUUUACCUACGGGAUUAGUUUUGAACCUCAAUAAUUGUUAUUUUGUGCCAAGUUUGAGCAUGAACAUUGUAUCAGGAUCUCGUUUAAUUUGAGAUGGCUACUCAUUUAAAUCCGAGAAUAAUGGUUGUUCUAUUUAUAUGAGAGAUAUGUUUUAUGGUCAUGCUCCGAUGGUGAAUGGUUUAUUCUUUAUGAAUCUCGAGCGUAAUGCUACACAUAUUCAUAGUGUAAGUACCAAAAGAUGUAAGAUUGAUAGUGAUAGUCCCACAUACUUGUGGCACUGCCGCCUCGGUCACAUAGGUGUCAAACGCAUGAAGAAGCUCCAUGCUGAUGGACUUUUAGAGUCUCUUGAUUACGAAUCAUUUGACACGUGCGAACCAUGCCUCAUGGGAAAAAUGACCAAGACUCCAUUCUCAGGAACAAUGGAGAGAGCAACCAACUUAUUGGAAAUCAUACAUACCGAUGUGUGCGGUCCAAUGAGUGUUGAGGCUCGCGGUGGCUAUCGUUAUGUUCUCACCCUCACUGAUGACUUGAGUAGAUAUGGGUAUGUCUACUUAAUGAAACACAAGUCUGAGACCUUUGAAAAGUUCAAGGAAUUUCAGAGUGAAGUUGAGAAUCAACGUGACAGGAAAAUCAAGUUUCUACGAUCAGAUCGUGGAGGAGAAUACUUGAGUCACGAGUUUGGUACACACUUAAGAAAAUGUGGAAUAGUUUCACAACUCACGCCGCCUGGAACACCUCAGCGUAAUGGUGUGUCCGAACGUCGUAAUCGCACUCUAUUAGAUAUGGUGCGAUCUAUGAUGUCUCUUGCCGACUUACAACUAUCUUAUUGGGGCUAUGCUUUAGAGACUGCCGCAUUCACUUUAAAUAGGGCCCCGUCGAAAUCCGUUGAGACGACACCGUAUGAAUUAUGGUUUGGGAAGAAACCUAAGCUGUCAUUUCUAAAAGUUUGGGGAUGCGAUGCUUAUGUCAGGAAACUUCAACCUGAAAAGCUCGAACCCAAAUCGGAAAAAUGCGUCUUCAUAGGAUACCCUAAAGAAACUGUUGGGUAUAUCUUCUACCUCAGAUCCGAAGGCAAGAUCUUUGUUGCCAAGAAUGGGUCCUUUCUGGAGAAAGAGUUUCUCUCGAAAGAAGUAAGUGGGAGGAAAGUAGAGCUUGAUGAAGUAUUACCUCUUGAACCGGAAAAUGGCGCAACUCAAGAAAAUGUUCCUGAGGUGCCUGCACCGACUAGAGAGGAAGUUAAUGAUAAUGAUCAAGAUACUUUUGAUCAAGCUCCUGCUGAAAUUCGAAGGUCCACGAGGACACGUUCCGCACCAGAAUGGUACGGCAACCCUGUCUUGGAAAUCAUGUUGUUAGACAACGGUGAACCUUCGAACUAUGAAGAAGCGAUGGCGGGUCCGGAUUCCGACAAAUGGCUAGAAGUCAUGAAAUCCGAGAUAGGAUCCAUGUAUGAAAACGAAGUAUGGACUUUGACUGACUUGCCCGUAGAACGGCGAGCCAUAGAAAAUAAAUGGAUCUUUAAGAAGAAGACAGACGCGGAUGGUAAUGUGACCAUCUAUAAAGCUCGGCUUGUCGCUAAGGGUUAUCGACAAGUUCAAGGGGUUGACUACGAUGAGACUUUCUCACCGGUAGCGAAGCUGAAGUCCGUCCGAAUCAUGUUAGCAAUUGCCGCAUUUUAUGAUUAUGAAAUUUGGCAAAUGGACGUCAAAACGGCAUUCCUUAAUGGUUUCCUUAAGGAAGAAUUGUAUAUGAUGCAGCCGGAAGGUUUUGUCGAUCCUAAAAAUGCUGACAAGGUGUGCAAGCUCCAACGCUCGAUUUAUGGGCUGGUGCAAGCAUCUCGGAGUUGGAACAUUCGCUUUGAUGAGAUGAUCAAAGCGUUUGGGUUUACACAGACUUAUGGAGAAGCCUGCGUUUACAAGAAAGUGAGUGGGAGCUCUGUAGCAUUUCUCAUAUUAUAUGUAGAUGACAUACUUUUGAUGGGAAAUGAUAUAGAACUCUUGGACAGCAUCAAGGCCUACUUGAAUAAAAGUUUUUCAAUGAAGGACCUUGGAGAAGCUGCUUAUAUAUUAGGCAUCAAAAUCUAUAGAGAUAGAUCGAGAUGCCUCAUAGGUCUUUCACAAAGCACAUACCUUGAUAAGAUAUUGAAGAAGUUCAAUAUGGAUCAAUCCAAGAAGGGGUUCUUGCCUGUGUUGCAAGGUAUGAAAUUGAGCUCAGCUCAAUGUCCGACCACGGCAGAAGAUAUAGAAGAGAUGAGCGUCAUCCCCUAUGCCUCAGCCAUAGGUUCUAUUAUGUAUGCCAUGCUGUGUACCAGACCUGAUGUAAACCUUGCCGUAAGUUUGGUAGGAAGGUACCAAAGUAAUCCCGGCAAGGAACACUGGACAGCGGUCAAGAAUAUCCUGAAGUACCUGAAAAGGACUAAGGAAAUGUUUCUCGUUUAUGGAGGUGACGAAGAGCUCAUCGUAAAGGGUUACGUCGACGCUAGCUUUGACACAGAUCUGGAUGACUCUAAGUCACAAACCGGAUACGUGUAUAUUUUGAAUGGUGGGCAGUAAGCUGGUGCAGUUGCAAGCAAAGCGUCGUGGCGGGAUCUACAUGUGAAGCGGAGUACAUGGCAGCCUCGGAGGCAGCACAUGAAGCAAUAUGGGUGAAGGAGUUCAUCACCGACCUAGGAGUCAUACCCAAUGCGUCGGGGCCGAUCAAGCUCUUCUGUGACAACACUGGAGCUAUUGCACUUGCCAAGGAGCCCAGGUUUCACAAGAAGACAAGGCACAUCAAGCGUCGCUUCAACUCCAUUCGUGAAAAUGUUCAAGAUGGAGACAUAGAGAUUUGUAAAGUACAUACGGACCUGAAUGUAGCAGAUCCGUUGACUAAACCUCUCCCUAGAGCAAAACAUGAUCAACACCAGAAUUCCAUGGGUGUUCGAUUCAUCACAAUGUAACUAGAUUAUUGACUCUAGUGCAAGUGGGAGACUAUUGGAAAUAUGCCCUAGAGGCAAUAAUAAAAGCAUUAUUAUUAUAUUUCCUUGUUCAUGAUAAUUGUCUUUAUUCAUGCUAUAAUUGUGUUAUCCGGAAAUCGUAAUACAUGUGUGAAUAACAGACACCAACAUGUCCCUAGUGAGCCUCUAGAUAACUAGCUCGUUGAUCAACAGAUAGUCAUGAUUUCCUGACUAUGGACACUGGAUGUCAUUGAUAACGAGAUCACAUCAUUAGGAGAAUGAUGUGAUGGACGAGACCCAAUCCUAAACAUAGCACAAGAUCGUAUAGUUCGUUUGCUAGAGUUUUGCAAUGUCAAAGUAUCUCUUCCUUCGACCAUGAGAUCGUAUAACUCCUGGAUACCGUAGGAGUGCUUUGGGUGUAUCAAACGUCACAACGUAACUGGGUGACUAUAAAGGUGCACUACAGGUAUCUCCGAAAGUAUCUAUUGUUUUAUAUGGAUCGAGACUGGGAUUUGUCACUCCGUAUGACGGAGAGAUAUCACUGGGCCCACUCAGUAAUGCAUCAUCAUAAUGAGCUCAAAGUGACCAAGUGUUUGGUCACGGGAUCAUGCAUUACGGUACGAGUAAAGUGACUUGUCGGUAACAAGAUUGAACGAGGUAUUGGGAUACCGACGAUCGAAUCUCGGGCAAGUAACAUAUCGAUUGACAAAGGGAAUUGCAUACGGGUUUGAUUAAAUCCUCGACAUCGUGGUUCAUCCGAUAAGAUCAUCGUGGAGCAUGUGGGAGCCAACAUGGGUAUCCAGAUCCCGCUGUUGGUUAUUGACCGGAGAGCGAUCUCGGUCAUGUCUACAUGUCUCCCGAACCCGUAGGGUCUACACACUUAAGGUUCAGUUACGCUAGGGUUGUAGGGAUAUGUAUAUGCAGUAACCCGAAUGUUGUUCGGAGUCCCGGAUGAGAUCCCGGACGUCACGAGGAGUUCCGGAAUGGUCCGGAGGUAAAGAUUUAUAUAUGGGAAGUCCUGUUUCGGGCAUCGGGACAAGUUUCGGGGUUAUCGAUAUUGUACCGGGACCACCGGAGGGGUCCCGGGGGCCCACCGGGUGGGGCCACCCAUCCCCGGGGGCCACAUGGGCUGUAGGGGGUGCGCCUUGGCCUGCUUGGGCCAAGGGCACCAGCCCCACAUAGGCCCAUGCGCCUAGGGUUUAAAGGGGAAAGAGUCCUAGGAGGGUAAGGCACCUCCUAGGUGCCUUGGGGGGGAGGGAAACCCCCCUUGGCCGCCGCACCCCUAGGAGAUUGGAUCUCCUAGGGCCGGCCACCCCCCCUUGGCACCCCUAUAUAUAGUGGGGGAGAGGAGGGACUUCAUACCUUGAGUCCUUGGCCUUUGGUUGCCUCCUUCUCCCUCCCCAACACCUCCUCCACCUCCUUAUUGCUUAGCGAAGCUCUGCCGGAGUACUGCAGCUCCAUCAACACCACGCCGUCGUGCUGCUGCUGGUGCCAUCUCCCUCAACCUCUCCUCCCUCCCUUGCUGGAUCAAGAAGGAGGAGACGUGGCUGUUUCCGUACGUGUGUUGAACGCGGAGGUGCCGUCCGUUCGGUGCUAGGAUCUCCGGUGAUUCGAAUCACGUCGUGUUCGACUACAUCAUCCCCGUUCUUUGAACGCUUCCGCUCGCGAUCUACAAAGGUAUGUAGAUGCAUCUAAUCACUCGUUGCUAGAUGAACUCCUAGAUGAUCUUGGUGAAACGAGUAGGAAAUUUUUUGUUUUCUGCAACGUUCCCCAACACCCACCGAGAUUGGCAAGUUGUGUAACGGUUAGAUUUUGUGUGGAGGCUAUAUAUACCCCUCCACCACCUCUUCAUUCAUGGAGAGAGCCAUCAGAACAAACCUACACUUCCAACUUACUUUUUUUGAGAGAGAACCACCUACACUUGUGUUGAGGCCAAGAUAUUCCAUUCUUACCAUAUGAAUCUUGAUCUCUAGCCUUCCCCAAGUUGCUUUCCACUCAAAUCUUCUUUCCACCAAAUUCAUAUCCUGUUAGAGAGAGUUGAGUGUUGGCGAGACUAUCAUUUGAAGCACAAGAGCAAGGAGUUCAUCAUCAACACACCAUUGUUACUUCUUGGAGAGUGGUGUCUCCUAGAUUGGCUAGGUGUCACUUGGGAGCCUCCGACAAGAUUGUGGAGUUGAACCAAGGAGUUUGUAAGGGCAAGGAGAUCGCCUACUUCGAGAAUAUCUACCGCUAGUGAGGCAAGUCCUUCGUGGGCGACGGCCAUGGUGGGAUAGACAAGGUUGCUUCUUCGUGGACCCUUCAUGGGUGGAGCCCUCCGUGGACUCGCGCAACCGUUACCCUUCGUGGGUUGAAGUCUCCAUCAACGUGGAUGUACGAUAGCACCACCUAUCGGAACCACGACAAAAACAUCUGUGUCUCCUAUUGCGUUUGAAUACUCCAAACCCUUCCCUUUACAUUCUUGCAAGUUGGAUGCUUUACUUUCCGCUGCUCAUAUACUCUUUGCAUGCUUGCUUGAAUUGUGUUAAAUUGCUCGACUUGUCCAAAGUUGCUAAAAUCUGCCAAGAACUAAAAUUGGGAAAAGGAUAAGUUUUUAUUUGGUCAAGUAGUCUAAUCACCCCCCCCUCUAGACAUACUUUCGAUCCUACAAGUGGUAUCAGAGCUUUGGUCUCCAUUUGCUUUGAUUUUCAUAGCUUUUGGAAGUCAUAGCCUUGGUUUCACAACCUAGGAAAGUAUGGCGUCUAGCGAGGGAAAUUACCACCAUAGAGGUCCUUACUUUAAUGGUACUAAUUUUGCUAGUUGGAAGCAUAAGAUGAAAAUGCAUAUUCUUGGACAUAACCCCGCCGUAUGGGCUAUUGUGUGUAUUGGCUUGCAAGGUGAAUUCUUUGAUGGGAGAGAACCGAACCGUGAAGCCACCACGGAAGAGUUGAAGAUGCUGCAAUACAAUGCUCAAUCUUGUGAUAUCCUCUUCAACGGAUUGUGCCCCGAAGAAUUCAACAAAAUCAACCGUCUUGAGAAUGUAAAGGAAAUUUGGGACACUUUGAUUUAUAUGCACUAAGGUACCGACUCCGUCAAGGAAUCCAAGUUGGAUGUGCUUCAAAGUCAGCUUGACAAGUUCAAAAUGAAGGAUGGUGAAGGUGUCGCUGAAAUGUACUCUAGGCUUGCUCUUAUCACAAAUGAGAUCGCCGGCUUAGGAAGUGAAGAGAUGACCGACAAAUUCAUCAUCAAGAAUAUCCUAAGAGCUUUGGACGGAAAAUAUGAUACCGUAUGUACGUUGAUUCAAAUGAUGCCCAAUUACAAAGAUCUCAAGCCAACGGAAGUCAUUGGAAGAAUUGUUGCUCAUGAGAUGUCACUCAAGGAUAAGGAGGAGCUCCAUAACAAGUCAAGUGGUGCUUACAGAGCCUCAUGUGAAGCUCCCACAUCAUCAAGUGAGAAACAAACCUUCAAUGAAGAAUUGAGCCUAAUGGUGAAGUACUUCAACAAGUUCUACAAUAGUAGAAGCAAAGAGAGAAGUUCCAAGUCAAGGUCCUACAAUGACAAAAGAUCUUCUAGUCGAGAGCGAAAUUGCUACAAUUGUGGAAGACCCGGACACUAUUUCAAUGAGUGUACGGCACCCUACAAAAGAAGAGAAGAUUCUCCAAAAAGAAAGAAGUAGAAGAGAAGAAUCACCAUCAAGAGAGAGAAGGAGUAGAGAUGAUCGUUAUGAACGAAGAACAUCCCAGAGAAGCAAAGAUUCGGAUAGGAAGGACAAGUCAUCAAGGAGCUACACAAAACAAAGACAUCAAGCUCAUGUUGGUGAAUGGGUAUCCAACUCCGAUUCCGACAAUCACUCCGAGAGAAGCUAUCACUCCGACUCCGAAUAUACUCAAGAUGAAGGUGUUGCCGGUCUAGCACUUGUGUCAACCAACUCCUACAACAUAUUUGAUUCACCAAAUGAAGGACUUGGAAGAUGCUUCAUGGCUAAAGGCCCAAAGGUAUCACACCCCGAGUAUGUUGAUUUCAAUAGUGAUGAAGAUGACUUGUUAGGUGAUGAUGAUUUACUUGUUGAUAACUCUAGUGAUGAAUACUAUGAUGAAACGUCAAUUAAUCAUGCUAAUCAAGAUAAAAGAAUGAUAAUGAUGAGGAGAAGAUUGAGUUUCUAACUAAAGAACUAAACACUCUUAAGUUAGCUCAUGAAACUAUCUUAGGAGAUCAUCGAGAACUUUUAAGGACUCGUGAGAAUUUACGUUUUGAAAAGCUCAACCUUGAGCAAGAGCAUGAGUUCUUAAAGGCAAUCAAUGCUGAUCUUCGUAAGAAAAGUUCUUCUUACAUUGCCAAGUGUUUACUCUUAUCCACUUACAUGCCUCAAGUCAAGUCUAGUAGCAAGAACAAGAAAGAUUCUUCCUCUAGUAGUAACAAUAAUCAUGCUAAAUCUAAUGUUGUUUCUUCUAGUAAUUCUCUUGAUUCCACUAAUGAUUCUCUUAGCCAAGUUACACUUGAGCAAGAAAAUAGCUUAUUGAAGGGAAUUAUAGAGAAAGGUGUUUACAAGAGCCUUGCCUGGAGUAAGCAAUUCGAGGAAAUUGUACGCAAGGAAGGAAGGCACCGGAAGAACCAAGGUGUUGGUUUUGAACGAAAGUUCAAUGCCAAUGGAGUUGAGUGGGAAGAAGAUCAAUACUCCAAGAUGAAGUUUGUUCCUCAACAAGAGAAGUAUGAUCCUACUUCCUUCAAAGGGACACAAGCUCAAGAUGAUCUUCCACCACAAGACCACAAGCAAAAAGGCAAGGAUAAGCUUCAAGAGGAAAUUGAUGCAUUUGAAGAAGCACCCAAGGCCUUGGUCAAGUGGGUUACCAAGACUACAUCAAGUUCUACUUCAUCAAGUAUGACUACAACUCCAAGGAUUCCCAUCAAGAUGAUGUGGAUCCCGAAUAAGAAGAACUAGAGAGUUCUUGAGGGUGACUCCGCCAACAUACUUCACUCUUAUCAUUUUGGCAAGAACAACUGCAAUCAACUUCCACAUCUUGCACUAGUUCAAGGAGUCACAAACCCUCUUGUUGGUAAGACAAGGGACAAGGUAACCUAAUGUUUUCAUAGACAUCAUCUUGUGCGUGCAUCACUCUAUGUCUAUGGAUAUCCUGUUUGUUCCUUGUGGGACUAACCCGUGUAGGUAUUGAAAGUGCAACUCACUCCAAAGGAUUGCUCCAAAUGAUCUACAUCAACAUUGAUCAUCCACAUCUUCAACACCUACAUGAAGUCAUCAUCGACAAAACCCAAGGUUAGUUCAUCCCUCUUAGGGGGGAUCUCACAUCUAGGGGGAGCUUUACUCUAAAAUUGAGCUAAAGCAACUCUAAUGGUGUGAACACAACAACACAUUAUGUAAAAAUGGUAACCCCAUUUGUGCUUAAACGAUGAGUAUGACCUAUGAUCAAAUGUUCUCAUUUGACUCCUAAGUCAAUAUACUCAUAUAUAGAUGACCUAGUCAUCGCCAAUUGCCUGAUAGAUGCUAGAAUUGGUUGUGCAUGUUUUGCCACAUAUUUCAUUUGCCAUUUUAUUAUGUGAGCAUGUUGGUUGCAUAAUUUACUCAUUCGAGGACAUCCACUUGUUGUUCUGAUUGUUUGGUUCCUUUUUCUUUUGCCAAGUGGAUGGACAAGAAUGCCUAAGAACCUUCUCUAGCUAUCUAUGCUUUUCUCAUCUCAAACUCUAUUCAUGCUACACCACAAAGUUUGAUCAAGUCAGAUUCGAACCACUCUGUGUGAGGAGCACUCGGAGUCCCCGAUUCGUCAUAGACUUAAAAAUCCAAAACUUCUUUGUGCGUUUCGGUCUGACCGAUUCAUCCAUUUUGGUCAUACUGAGAUCACUAAGUCGAUCUAGGUUUUCAAUCUCGGUGCAAUCGAUUUGAACUUUUCGGUCACACCGAGUUUCAGUAACUGCUUGCAGUUAUGAAUCUCGGUGCCAUCGAGUUGUUCCACUCGGUCACACCGACACAGUCAGGCUAUAUAUAUCCGCGGCCCAAAAUUUGGAAAAAUUUCUGAACCUCUUCGCCCGUGCUCAGCCUGCUCUGCCUUCCUGGGUCUCCGGAUCAUCCUCCUCAUUGCCAGCUGCCUCCCGCCGCUGGUCUCCGCCGCCGUCAACGGGAAUCAUCUCCGCCGUUGCCGCCGUAGCAAGUCCAUCGCUGCACUAGGGUAUGGACUUGAUCCUUGUGCUAUUCCCCCUCCGAUUUGUAGCACAUUGUUUAGCCAUGUAUCUUGCCAUGAUUGAGAUCACUCUAUCCAGCGAAAUCACUCUGUAGUUUAGUCGUGGAUUGAAAAUUUAGGGUUAGGUUUCCGCCGAAACCAUCUCGGACCGACCGAGUUGUUGAAAUCGGUUCUACCGAUUUUGCUAAGGCCAUUGCACAUGUGAUUCUCGGUCUGACCGAGAAUUGCAAAUCGGUGUGACCGAGUUCAAUACUUUGUGAAACCCUAGCAGUCUCGGUGCCACCGAACUAUGACUCGGUCUGACCGAGUUCACUAGUUUAGGUUCCAAAAGCUGCUUCGGUAUCACCAAGUGUGCAAAUCGGUAGAUCCGAAAUGCUUUUGUGAAAAACUAAAACUAAGUUUUUAACUCAUUCUUUUGCAAAAACCUCUGUACUUUGUGAUGCUUAUCAAAUCUACCUCAUCUAUAAUCUAUUCACAGGGUCUGCUGUCAGUGUUUGCAUCAUCUCAGAUCAGAGUGACAAUCAGAACAAGUCUGAGGAGCAAGUGAACAUGAGUGAGGGCAUUAGUCCCUCUAGCAGCUUUGAUGAAGGAAGCAGAAGUACACCCAGCAACUUGCCUAAGGCAGCCACCAGGACCAGAAAGAAGAAACCCUCAGAUUCUGAGGAUGAGGACUAUGUGGCUGUUGAGGAAGAGGCCACCUCAAAGAGGAAAGUCCUGAAAAAGGAAUAUGGCACAGCUACUGCCACUAAGCCAGGAAUGAAGCAAAAGGUUCCUGCCAAGAGAGUUCCCAUGUCAAAAGCCAAAACAUCCAAUCAAGAGACUUUGGGAUCUACACCCAAAGAACAAGUUGUGGCGAAAAAGAAAAGAAAGGAAAGGGUCAAGAAGACCACUGCCAGAGUGCUUGGGAGAUCUUCAAUAAUGAAAGAUUCUAAAGAAGAGGAAGAGGAAGAGGAUGCAACACCAGCACCCAAAGCUCAAAAGCUUAUGGGAGAUGCUAUAAGGGCAGGGGCUGCUCCAUCUAAGCCUAAGACUACUCCUAAGACUGCUGCUCUAGCUCUAAAGCCAAAACACAAGAGGAGCACCAGGAACAUCCCUGCUGAGGAGAAGAACAAGGCCCCAGUGCCUCAAGCUGCUGAAGAAAAAGAUGAUUCUGUUGUUUUGAGAAAGUUGAAGCCCAAAUUUAAAAAUCACAAUGAUGCUCACCUAGUUGCAGAGAACAUGAAAAUCAAAAAGGAUUCAGGUUUAAGUCUAUGGAGAGAGUCUGAUCCAUAUGCCACCAGGAGAAGGACUGCUAUGGACUAUAGGUUCCAUACAAAGGAACAGCAGGACUUCUAUGAGACUAUCUUACUUGACAAGAAGUGAAGGAAAUAUGCCCUAGAGGCAAUAAUAAAGUUAUUAUUUAUUUCCUUAUAUCAUGAUAAAUGUUUAUUAUUCAUGCUAGAAUUGUAUUAGCCGGAAACAUAAUACAUGUGUGAAUACAUAGACAAACAUAGUGUCACUAGUAUGCCUCUACUUGACUAGCUCGUUGAUCGAAUAUGGUUAUGUUUCCUAACCAUAGACAUGAGUUGUCAUUUGAUUAACGGGAUCACAUCAUUAGGAGAAUGAUGUGAUUGACUUGACCCAUUUCGUUAGCUUAGCACUUGAUCGUUUAGUUUGUUGUUGUUGCUUUCUUCAUGACUUACACAUGUUCCUAUGACUAUGAGAUUAUGCAACUCCCGUUUACCGGAGGAACACUUUGUGUGCUACCAAACGUCACAACAUAACUGGGUGAUUAUAAAGGUGCUCUAUAGGUGUCUCCGAAGGUACUUGUUGGGUUGGCCUAUUUCGAGAUUAGGAUUUGUCACUCCGAUUGUCGGAGAGGUAUCUCUGGGCCCUCUCGGUAAUGCACAUCACAUAAGCCUUGCAAGCAUUGCAACUAAUAAGUUAGUUGCGGGAUGAUGUAUUACGGAACGAGUAAAGAGACUUGCCGGUAACGAGAUUGAACUAGGUAUUGAGAUAUCGACGAUCAAAUCUCGGGCAAGUAACAUACCGAUGACAAAGGGAACAACGUAUGUUGUUAUGCGGUCUGACCGAUAAAAGAUCUUCGUAGAAUAUGUAGGAGCCAAUAUGAGCAUCCAGGUUCCGCUAUUGGUUAUUGACCGGAGACAUGUCUCGGUCAUGUCUACAUUGUUCUCGAACCCGUAGGGUCCGCACGCUUAACAUUACGAUGACAGUUUCAUUAUGAGUUUAUAUAUUUUGAUGUACCGAAGGUUGUUCGGAGUCCCGGAUGUGAUCACGGACAUAACGAGGAGUCUCGAAAUAGUCGAGACAUAAAGAUUGAUAUAUUGGACGACUAUAUUCGGACACAGGAAUGGUUCCGGGAGUUAUCGGAUAUAAAACGGAGUACGGGGGGUUACUGGAACCNNNNNNNNNNNNNNNNNNNNNNNNNNNNNNNNNNNNNNNNNNNNNNNNNNNNNNNNNNNNNNNNNNNNNNNNNNNNNNNNNNNNNNNNNNNNNNNNNNNNNNNNNNNNNNNNNNNNNNNNNNNNNNNNNNNNNNNNNNNNNNNNNNNNNNNNNNNNNNNNNNNNNNNNNNNNNNNNNNNNNNNNNNNNNNNNNNNNNNNNNNNNNNNNNNNNNNNNNNNNNNNNNNNNNNNNNNNNNNNNNNNNNNNNNNNNNNNNNNNNNNNNNNNNNGGCCCAAAGUGGAGCAGAGGAGGGGCGCCCAGGGCAGGCUGCACGCUCCCUCCCCCUCUAGUCCGAAUUGGACAAGGAGGGAGGGGCGGCGCCCCCUUUCCUUUCUCUCCUCUCUCCCUUCCUUCCCCUUUCCUAGUUCGAUAAGGAAAGGAGGGAGUGCUACUCCCGGUAGGAGUAGGACUCCUCCCUGGCGCGCCUCCUCCUGGCCGACCGCCCCUCCCCCUUGCUCCUUUAUAUACGGGGGCAGAGGGCACCUCUAGACACAACAAUUGAUCCUUGAGAUCUAUUAGCCGUGUGCGGUGCCCUCCUCCACCAUAAUCCUCGAUAAUAUUGUAGCGGUGCUUAGGCGAAGCCCUACAACGGUAGAACAUCAAGAUCGUCACCACGCCGUCGUGCUGACGGAACUCUUCCCCGACAUUCUGCUAGAUCGGAGUCCGGGGAUCGUCAUCGAGCUGAACAUGUGCUAGAACUCGGAGGUGCCGUAGUUUCGGUGCUUGAUCGGUCGGGCCGUGAAGACGUACGACUACAUCAACCGUGUUGUGCUAACUCUUCCGCUUCUGGUCUACGAGGGUACGUAGACAACACUCUCCCCUCUCGUUGCUAUGCAUCACCAUGGUCUUGCGUGUGCGUAGGAUUUUUUUUGAAAUUACUACGUUCCCCAACAGUGGCAUCCGAGCCUAGGUUUUAUGCGUUGAUGUUGUGCACGAGUAGAAAACAAAGUGAGUUGUGGGUGAUAUAAGUCAUACUGCUUACCAGCAUGUCAUACUUUGGUUCGCCGAUAUUGUUGGAUGAAGCGGCCCGGACCGACAUUACGCGUACGCUUACGCGAGACUGGUUCUACCGACGUGCUUUGCACACAGGUGGCUGGCGGGUGUCAGUUUCUCCAACUUUAGUUGAACCAAGUGUGGCUACGCCCGGUCCUUGUGAAGGUUAAAACAACACCAACUUGACAAACUAUCAUUGUGGUUUUGACGCGUAGGUAAGAAUGGUUCUUGCUAAGCCCGUAGCAGCCACAUAAAACUUGCAACAACAAAGUAGAGGACGUCUAACUUGUUUUUGCAGGGCAUGUUGUGAUGUGAUAUGGUCAAGACAUGAUGCUAAAUUUUAUUGUAUGAGAUGAUCAUGUUUUGUAACCGAGUUAUCGGCAACUGGAAGGAGCCAUAUGGUUGUCUCUUUAUUGUAUGCAAUGCAAUUGCGUUGUAAUGCUUUACUUUAUCACUAAGUGGUAGCGAUAGUCGUGGAAGCAUAAGAUUGGCGAGACGACAAUGAUGCUACGAUGGUGAUCAAGGUGUCGCGCCGGUGAUGAUGGUGAUCAUGAUGGUGCUUCAAAGAUGGAGAUCACAAGCACAUGAUGAUGAUGGCCAUAUCAUAUCACUUAUAUUGAUUGCAUGUGAUGUUUAUCUUUUAUGCAUCUUGUCUUGCUUUGAUUGACGGUAGCAUUAUAAGAUGAUCUCUCACUAAAUCAUCAAAGUAUAAGUGUUCUCUCUGAGUAUGCACCGUUGUGAAAGUUCUUCGUGCUGAGACACCACGUGAUGAUCGGAUGUGAUAGGCUCUACGUUCAAAUACAACGGGUGCAAAACAGUUGCACGCACGGAAUACUCAGGUUUAACUUGACGAGCCUAUCAUAUAACAGAUAUGGCCUCGGAACACGGAGACCGAAAGGUCGAGCGUGAAUCAUAUAGUAGAUAUGAUCAACAUAUUGAUGUUCACCAUUGAUACUACUCCAUCUCACCUGAUGAUCGGACAUGGUUUAGUUGAUUUGGAUCACGUGAUCACUUAGAGGAUUAGAGGGAUAUCUUUCUAAGUGGGAGUUCUUAAGUAAUAUGAUUAAUUGAACUUAAAUUUAUCAUGAACUUAGUACCUGAUAGUAUCUUGCUUGUCUAUGUAGAUAGAUGGCUCGUGUUGUUGUUCCGUUGAAUUUUAAUGCGUUCCUUGAGAAAGCAAAGUUGAAAGAUGAUGGUAGCAAUUACACGGACUGGGUCCGUAACGUGAGGAUUAUCCUCAUUGCUGCACAGAAGAAUUACGUCCUGGAAGCACUGCUAAGUGCCAAGCCUGCUGCAGGAGCAACACCAGAUGUUAUGAAUGUCUGGCAGAGCAAAGCUGAUGACUACUCGAUAGUUCAGUGUGCCAUGCUUUACGGCUUAGAACCGGGUCUUCAACGACGUUUUGAACGUCAUGGAGCAUAUGAGAUGUUCCAGGAGUUGAAGUUAAUAUUUCAAGCAAAUGCCCGGAUUGAGAGAUAUGAAGUCUCCAAUAAGUUCUAUAGCUGCAAGAUGGAGGAGAAUAGUUCUGUCAGUGAACAUAUACUCAAAAUGUCUGGGUAUCAUAAUCACUUGACUCAACUGUGGGUUAAUCUUCCUGUUGAUAGUGUCAUUGACAGAGUUCUUCAAUCACUGCCACCAAGCUACAAAAGCUUCGUGAUGAACUAUAAUAUGCAAGGGAUGAAUAAGACUAUUCCUGAGCUCUUCACAAUGCUAAAAGCCGCGGAGGUAGAAAUCAAGAAGGAGCAUCAAGUGUUGAUGGUCAAUAAGACCACAAGUUUCAAGAAAAAGGGCAAAGGGAAUGUCGGGUGGUAGGUGCGACAUAUGCCAACGGGUGGCUUAUCAUUGUGGGAGCCAGUAAAACAUUGCCGGUGCCUGGAAACGGGAUGAGGCGAAGGCAUGCAUGCCGGCGAAUCUUAUCCAGCUUCGGGGCUCUCCGUGGAGAUAACACCCCUACUGCUGCUCUGCGGGGUCUCCGCAUGAUCACUAGAUGAACAAGUAGCUACACGAUGCUCCUUGAGCUGUUUGGCGAGAGGAGGAAGAAGGGCUCUGCUUGCUCUCUUCUCCUCCCUACGUGGCGCCUAAAACUAGCAGGGAUCCAUCCCCUUGCAUGGGUGUCCCGGGGGGUUUAUAUAGGCCUGCCCCCCGGGGGUACAAUGGUAAUCCGGCUGGGCGUGGGGCCCAACCGUCUGUGUCUUCGCUCUCCGGCUUCUGCGCCAGCUGCUGGGGCCCGCCGGCUGGUGGGUCCCGCCGGCUGUCGGCUCCUUGGUCGACAGGCAGGCCCCACUGUCCAGGGCCUUGUCGGUGGCUGGUUAGUGUUGCUCAAUCUUGGUGAUGAGGGCUUCGCCGAGGUAAGCGUGGCUACAGUGCUGCCGUCCGGCGAGUGACCACUGUAGCCUCACCACGUCUUGUCUCCUUAAUGGGGCGUCCCCUUCGAGGGGGUGGCAAGCCGGCUGGAGAGAGCCGGCUCCGUCUUGGGCCGACUGGGGGAGGCCAGGCCGCCUUCGGGUGUCUCUCUGCCCGAAGGGGCCCACCGCCCGUGGGCCGUACUGGUAGCCCGUCGUGGAUGACAUCAGGGUCAUCGUGGCAACAGUGCUGCGCCGGACAGGUCAUGGCCACCUGUACGGCGCAUUGUGCCAGGCGCGCUCCGGGAUUUGGGGGUGGCAGGCUUCAUUAUAGCCACGCCCCGUCACAUCGCCGUUAUGUGGAUGCAGACUUCGAGGGUAUGGUCUUGACCGCUUUACGGGAGCCGGCUCCUUGGAGUCGGCCUUCUCGCAGCCGGCUCCUCGGAGCCGGCCCUCUCGUGGCUUUCUUUAUGAGGGCUGAAGUCGGGCCGCCUUCCAAUAGCCGGCCUGGGAGACAGCCGGCCAGGGGAAGGCGGCCCCAUGUCUUGGAUUCUUGAGAGCUGGAUCGGCUCGUAAUUUUUUCAGAAAGGCCAGGGGGAGCCGGCUGGGCUAUCCGUGGUCACUUACUCCGACAGUAGUCCCCGAAGCUGAGCGAGCUUCAAGGCUGAUAAAGGGACGAGAAUCUUGGUCAGCUUCCUAUCCUGAGGGGCCGGCUUUGCUUAUGCGCGCCGUCUUCGGAAAAGCUCCGUUUCUCGUAGGCGGGAACGCGGGCCACGUGGCGAGGAAAUCCUGCCAACGCAUGCCCGCGACGGGACGCCGCCGCAGGCCCGGGCCCGCCACUCGCAGGCCUCGGUCCGAGCGCGGAUCUUCCGCGGCCCACAUGGACCGCUCGCCUUCUCGCGGCGGUUUUAUUCUGCCAUCAAGGCUCAAUAAUUGCGGGACGUGGGGGAGUGUGCGUAGUUGAUCCCCACGUUCCCCCACGUCGCGCCUCCUCGGCUCCGCCGUGCGGUCUAUAAGUAGGAGGAGGAGGGGGAGCAGCAGAGGCUCGCGCGCUCUCCCUCACUCCGCCCCUUCUCGCCCUCCUUCUUCUUCUCUUCCCCGUAGCAACUCUUUGCCGCACCGUUCCGCCGCCGCAUCGUCUUGCUUCUCGCCGCGCUGCCCCAUGGCGCUGUCAAGCUCAUGGGAUGGCUCCAACGUCCAUGAGGACCACGUUGAGUUCCUCUGCCAGAUGCGACGCCUGCCUGGCGAGGACUUCGUUCGGGUUCGUCUAGCGCCGGAGAAGGAGAUUUCGCCGGCACCGGAGGAGGGCGAGCGGGUGAUCUUCCGCUCGCACUGCCUCCGCGGCUUCGGCCUUCCAGCGAGCAGGUUCCUCCGAGCCUUCCUCGAAUUCUACAACCUCCAGCCGCAUCACCUCACGCCCAAUGCGGUGAUGCUGCUGUCGGCCUUCGUCACGCUGUGCGAAGGCUUCCUUGGGGUCCUCCCCACGCUCGAGCUCUGGGCGGAAUUCUUUCAAAGCAAGCUCGGCACUAUCGUCGCGGGCGUGCCCGCCCCCUGCGGAGCCUUUAUUGCCAUGAGGCGGGCAAGCGAGAACAACCCGUUCCCGCCCAUCCUGCUGACCCAGUCGGUGAAGCUCUGGCAGAAGUCAUACUUUUACGUGAAGAAUGUUGCGCAGCAAGGCGACCACGUUAACCUGCCGGCUUAUGAAGCCGGCCCGCCGGCUGGGAGGCGACCUUCGUGGAGCUACCGGGCCAGGUCAUUGUCUCAGGCCGGGAACGCAGCCGUCUCCCGGCUUCGGGUGAUGAUCCAGUCGGAGGGCCUGACCGGAACCGACUUGGUGGCUGCCUUCAUGGAGCGCCGGGUUCUUCCCCUCCAAAGCCGGCCUCACAUGGUUUGUCAGAUGAGCGGCCGCUUCAACCCAAGCUGGCUGAGCACCAGGGAGAUGCCUCAUGCGGAGGUCUCCUACAUGGUGAACUAUAUCUCCAACUGCAAGCUCGCCGAGGAUUGGCGGUACGGCAAGGGGCCGUACUCUCGCGCCAACCCUCCGCCCGUCAUAAGUUCUUUCUUCUUUUCUUCCUUUGGUAGCCGGCCUCAUGAUAGCCGGCCUCUGAUCAGUCGGUUUGCCCCUAGCAGAACCCUCUCCUUCCGCCGACGACCGGGGCCGCAGGGAUAGAGCGCCAGCUCAUCCCUGACCGCACGGUGGACGACGCCGACGACCCGAACUUGGGAGCCGCCACCAUGGAAGACGCCAUCGUGGGGGAAAGCGACGAGGCCGGAGGUGCGGGGCUCACGGCCGGCUUCGAGGACUGGCCGGAUGAUGCCGAGGUCGAAGUCGCCCCGCGCCACCAGCCGGCGCCUGAUCAUCAAGGCGCGAGCUCGUCCGCCGCGCCGGCUGCUGGCGGCGGCGCCCAGAAGCGCCGGGCCAUGUCGAUCCUCUUCGGCAGCCGGCCGAAGAAGUCCAAGGCUUCCACGGCGGCGACCAAGCGAGAUGAGGCGGCCACGAAGGCCGCCCGCUUCCGCAAGGCGGUGAAGCAGCCGCAGGUGAUCUCAGCGUAAGUCGUCGAAUGCUUGGAUACAUAUUUUUUUGUUGUUCUUUUCGAUUGAAAACUCUUAUAAACCUUUCUUUGCUCGCCGGACAGGGUGCCGCUUUCCCUUGAGCGGGGUCCGGGCGGCUUCGUAGUCGGGCCGACUGGAGGGUCUUCAGGCUCCCGCCGCGUGGAUCCCCGCGCCGACCUCAGGGAGGCCACGGAGCGGAACACACGAGAGGUGUGGGAGGAGCGGGAGGCGGCGGAGCGAAGGGCCGCCUAGGCGACGAAGGAGCAGGCCGAUGCAGCAGCCAAGGCCCGGGCGGAGGCGGCAGCUGCGGAGACGGAGGCGGAGGCUUCGCACAACCAGCCUCCGCUGCUAGCCAUUCCCCUCCGCGCCGUGGCCCCCAACAUUCCUGUGCCUCCACUGGAGGAGGUCGACCAAGAACCGCCGGUGAUGGAGUGGAGGGAGGACUUCGUGAUCUUCGUGGAGGGGGCGCCGCUGGCAGCGCCAACCGGAGCGGGCCAAGGCGGCCAGUCGGCUGCGGCGCCAGAGCAGCCGGCUGGGGGUGAGCCGGAAGCAGGAGCCGGCCUCGAGGUGCAGCCGACAAUGUGCUGGCGCGCAGGGGGAGGCACCGUUGCACCGGAGCCGCACCGAGCUACGGGUGCCAGCCAGACGGCGGAGGCCUUGGAGGCAGCCAGCACCGGCACGUCCGAGUGGACUCCCAGCGGCGGGACGGGCGAGCUGAAUGUGGCGGCCCAAGAGGUUCGGAACCGGCUUCAGGCCCAAGCCGCCUCGCUGCAGCAGUACACCCAGGAGUUCCUUGCAACACGGGCCGUCAUCCGGGUGAGUCUUCUAUCUUUGGUUGUUUUGUUCUAUUGAUUUCUUCCGUGGGGGCGCGUCAGCGCACCCACUGGGUGUAGUCCCGGAGAUUCGGGCCGACUGCUGAGCAGUCGGGUCGGAUCUUCCUUGACGACUACCUUAUUCUCGCCUCCUGUCUAAUCUUCCAGGAGUAUCAUAACCUCUGCGCUGCCGCCUUCAACUCCCAGGCUCAGGAGCUGGGUCGGAGAACCGAAGACCUAAUCAGCAGCCGGAGUACGUACUUGGUUUCGUUCAUCUCCUGUGGGGGCGCGUCAGCGCACCCACUGGGUGUAGUCCCCGAGAUUCGGGCCGAAUGCUGAGCAGUCGGGUCGGAUCUUUCCUGACGACUUCACCUUACUGGUUUUUCUUGUCUUUCGUGCUUGUAGAAGCCAAUGCCGACUUAAGGGGGCAGCUCAGCAAGGCGCAGGCCGCCCUUCGUGCCAAGGAAACCGAGUACGACGCCUUGUUCCUGGAGCGUGACCGCCUGGCCAAGAAGCUGGCUGACCAGGAGGAGAGCCACAAGGCGGCUCUGAAGAAGGCGCGGGAUAACGAAGCCGCCCUAAAGGCCGAGUUCGAGACUGAAGCGGCGGGCUGGGCUGAGACCAGGCAAGCGCUGAAUGAAGGCUUCGGCCGUAUUGAGGAUUUGAUCGACGGUAAGCCGCUUUCCUCGCUCCUUGCCUGCCCCUUGCCACCUGACUUGUGUUUUGACUUGAGCUGCUUUUUAUUCUCUGUGCAGACUACUUUCCUGGCUACUCCGUCUUCGCCGCCCAAACCAUCGAGGCCCAGCGCGAAGCGCGCCGGCAGGCGGGGGCUGAAGUCGCGUCGGACGCGAGUCGGUCACUCGAAGAGCAACUCUUGGCGGUCCAAGCGCGGCUGCAGCCGGCUCAUCGUAUGCUCCGCCGCCUCCAGCGCGCCGGAGCGCAGGUGUUGGCUGCCCUCUGGCCAAGCGAGACAAUUCCCGGCACCCCGAGUCGGACUGCCGACUGGUUGGAGGUUGCGGUUGGCCGCUUCGAGGCCUGGAAGGCGUCGGCGGCCCGGCUUGGAGCUGGGCGGGCGCUAGAGUUCGUCCGAGCUUGGUAUCCGGGGCUGAACCUGGACCAGCUGCGCACCUGGCGGCUGGAGGCCGACGAAGAGCUAGCGGAGGUGCGGCCGGCUAUCACUCAGCGCGCAUCGACAAUCGCCGAGUGUACUGACAUCAGCGUCUUCGCUCCUGAGAUCAAUGACGACGGCGUUGCCCAGCCGGAGGAGUGGUUCGGGCUGGACCCGGCGGCGGGUGAAGACUCGGCAGAAGAGAUCGCCUCCAGCGACGAAGGCGAAGACGACGAAGGAGAGGAAAGCGAAGACGUCGAGCGGGCCAGUGGAACAGCCAGCCAGCCUCAGCCUGACCGUGCCUCCAGCAACGAGGCGCGCGCAAGUGCUCCUUCUGCGGGAGGCGGUGAUCAUGCCGAGGUUCGCCAGCCAGCCAGUCCUCAACCGGCACUGCCGUCUCCACCGACCUGCCCGGCUCGUUAGUCGCUCCGCCGGCUUAAUCUGCCGUCCUUGUUUUUCCUGCUUGUUGCCUUCUGAACAAUUUUAUUAAGCUUCCGCAGUUCCACCCACUGGGGGUGUAUCCAAACUAUGUUGAAUGCUGGCCUUUUGAAGGUCUUUUAUGUAAAUAUUAACUUGUGCAUGUUUGGUUUCCAUUCACGUAUGCUUUUUAUCCUUAGGCUGUUUCCUUUGCCGCCUUCCCCUUUGGGGGAGGCAAGUACUCGAGCUUUCUUGGAUUGAAGUGAAGUGAAUGGAAGCCGGCCGGCCGGCUACUCUGGUAGCCGGUCGGCGGUGGGAGAAAACCGGCUUUUGUUAUAUUAGUCCGUUAGUCCCUAGCCGUUUUCGUGUGGGCACCCGUUCCUGCCUUAACUCUUGCCAGCCGGACAGCCAGUUCUUCGAACUGCGACUUUUGGCAAGAGAAGGCUUGGGAGCCGGCACACUACUUGUCUGACUGCGGGUAGGACUUCUAAUAUAAGUCCAGGCGGCCAGUCCCCGGGCUGACUAGUCGAACCCGGUGCCGGACGGAAAAAAGUGAAUGCAAUGACAAGGCCAUAAGCAUGAUACUUUUCAUUUAUAGACAAAAGAUGGCAGUCCCCGAGCUCUCCUCGGGGGCCCUAUUGUCUCGUACUUAGUACAAAAGUUAGCAUGAUACAUACUGCAUUUCAGCUGUAAAACCUUCGGAGGAGGUUGGCGUUGCAUGGUCAUUCCGACUCCUUGCCGGAGUCGUCUCUCUUUCGUGCCUUCGGCUUCUGCGCGUCGAUCAGGUAGUAGGAGUCGUUGCCUAAGGCUCUGCUGAUGACGAAGGGGCCCUCCCAAGGGGCCGAGAGCUUGUGCUGGCUGGCUGUGUGCUGGAUCAGCCGGAGCACAAGAUCGCCCUCUUGGAAGGAUCUUGGCUUGACCUUCCGGCUGUGGUAGCGGCGCAGGCCCUGCUGAUAGAUGGCGGACCGGCCGAGGGCUAACAGCCGGCUUUCUUCCAGCAGGUCGACGCCAUCUUCUCGUGCUUCCUUGGCCUCCGCUUCCGUGUACAUGGUUACUCGAGGCGAGUCGAACUCGAUGUCAGUUGGAAUGACCGCCUCGGCACCAUACACGAGGAAGAAAGGGGUGAAGCCGGUUGACUUGUUUGGUGUACUGCGCAGACUCCAGAGGACAGCCGGCAGCUCAUCGAGCCAACAGCCGGCUAAACGCUCCAGUGGUACGAUCAGUCGGGGCUUGAUGCCGGAAAGGAUGAGGCCGUUGGCUCACUCGACCUGGCCGUUUGACUGCGGGUGGGCGACGGAUGCUAGAUCCAACCGGAUGCCUUGCGUCGCGCAGAAACGUGCCAAGGCUCCCUUGGCGAAAUUUGUGCCAUUGUCGGUGAUGAUGCUGUGUGGCACGCCCUACCGAUUUGUUAUAUCUGCGAUAAAUGUGACGGCAGUCGGCCCAUUCAGCUUCUUGAUCGGCUUUGCUUCAAUCCAUUUGGUGAAUUUGUCCACGGCGACAAGCAGAUGUGUCAUGCCGCCGCACGCUGUCUUGAAUGGGCCCACCAUGUCCAGUCCCCAAACGGCGAAGGGCCAAGUGAGGGGAAUGGUCUUGAGUGCUGAAGCCGGCAUGUGUUGCUUGGAGCUGAAGAGUUGGCACCCUUUGCAAUGUUUAACUAACUCCUUGGCGUCAUCCAAAGCAGUCGGCCAUAAGAAACCAUGGCGGAAGGCUUUGGUGACAAGUGAUCUUGAGGCCGCAUGGUUGCCGCAUUCUCCUUGGUGGAUGUCUCUGAGGAUUGUGAUGCCCUUCUCUUGCUCGACGCAUCGCUGGAGGACUCCAGUGACACUGCGCUUGACGAGCUCUCUGUUGACGAUUGUGUAUGCUCUGGCUCGGCGUUGGACUUGUCUUGCCUCUACUUCGCCAGCCUGCAGAUCUUGGUUUAUUAGGAAGUUGAGGAUGGAUUGAGCCCAUGACGGAGCUGCGACUUCUAUUGCCAAAAUGGCUACUGCGACCAGGGCGGGCGGGCUGGGCGGUGAAAUGCUGGAGUCGACCGCCACUUGUUGUGUUGGUGUAGUCUCCGGGCCGACUACCGCAGUCCCCGAGCCGGGUGAGGCAGUCCUCGGGUCGGGCGUAACUACGGAAGUCCCCGAGCCGCCUGCUGAUACCCCCUGGCCGACUAUCGAAGUCCCCGGGCCACCUGCUUGGUUCUUCGAGCCGGACCCGGCCGCGUCGGGGUCAGGCGGCAUGAAGAUGGAAUCGGACUCUGGAGACGGCUUGAUAGACGGCUUGAGGAGGCGUUGUAGAGAGACGCCGGUUGGUAUUGCUUGCCGGGUGGAGCCUAUUUGAGCCAGAGCAUCAGCUGGCUCGUUGUCGGCUCGCGGUACGUGGAGGAACUCGCAUCCUUCAAAAUACCCACUGAUCUGCUGAACGAGGAAGCGGUAGCUUGCCAUAUUUGCGUCCUUGGCGUCCUAGUGGCCGGAUGAUUGCUGGACCACUAAGUCCGAGUCGCCAUAACAUAGGAUCCGACGAAUGCCGAGCUCUUUGGCAAGCCGGAGCCCGUGUAUGAGCGCCUCGUACUCGGCUACAUUGUUGGAGGCGGCAAAGUGGAUUUGCAGCGUGUAUCUGAGCUUGUGGCCUUUGGGAGAGGUGAGGACGAUGCCGGCUCCAAGCCGGUGCGCAUCUUGGACCCAUCGAAGUGCAUGCGCCAAUGAGUGGAGUCGGGAGCCGGCGGCAGGUACUGGGUCUCGGCCCAGUCGACAAGGAAGUUGGCCAAUGCUUGGGAUUUGAUGGCGGUGCGAGGCUGGUAGAAGAUCACGUAAGGGGCCAGCUCGAUGGCCCAUUUCGCCACCCGGCCAGAUGCAUCCCGGCUGCCUAUGCAUACAACCGUGAUGGGGUGCUCUUGGAAGUAGGGCUUCAGCUUCUUGGCGGCGAAGUACACGCCGUAGCACAUCUUCUGGUAGUGCGGGUAGUUCUGCUUCGAGGUAGACAACACCUCGCUCAAAUAGUACACCGGCCUCUGGACCGGCUGGGCUCGGCCUUCUUCUGGGCAUUGGACUACGAUGACGGUGCUGACCACCCGGCUGGUUGCGGCAAUGUAGAGGAGCAUGGGCUCUUUCUCAGUCGGCGCCGCUAGGACAGGCGGCGUGGCCAGCAUCUUCUUCAGCUCGUGAAAAGCUUGAUCGGCUUGGUCAUUCCACUCGAAGUGAGUGGUCUUCUUCAUGAGGCGGUAGAGGGGGAGAGCUUUCUCUCCGAGCCGGCUGAUGAAGCGGUUUAGGGAGGCCAAGCACCCGGUGAACUUCUGGAUGUCUCGAAGCUUGGUGGGAAUCGCCAUUCUCUCAAUGGCCUUGAUCUUUACUGGGUUGCAUUCCAUGCCGCGUUCGGAUACCAGGAAGCCUAGGAGCUGGCCGGCUGGUACUCCGAACAUGCAUUUCUCGGGGUUAAGCUUGAUUUGGAACCGGCGUAGGUUCUCAAAUGUUUCCUUGAGGUCUUCCAACAAGGUGCCGCGCUUGUCCGUCUUCACCACAAUGUCGUCUACGUAGACAUGGGCAUUUCUACCGAGUUGCUUGAGGAGGCACUUCUGCAUGCAACGCUGAAAAGUGGCACCGCCAUUUCUCAAGCUGAAUGUCAUAGUCAGGUAGCAGAAGGCUCCGAAUGGCGUGACGAAGGCGGUCUUCAGGCGGUCUGCCAGAUCUAACUUUAUCUGGUGAUACCCUGAGUAAGCAUCCAAGAAACUCAACAGCUCGCAUCCGGCCGUGGAGUCUAUCACUUGGUCAAUCCUUGGCAGGGCAAAGGGAUCUUUGGGGCAGGCCUUGUUGAGGCUCGUGUAGUCUAUACACAUGCGCCACUUGUUGUUCUUCUUUAGCACGAGGACCGGGUUGGCGAGCCAUUCUGGAAAGAAAACUUCCAUAAUGAAGCCGGCUGCCAGAAGUCGGGCUAUCUCCUCUCCCACAACCCUGCGUUUCUCCUCCGACAGUCGGCGGAGGGGUUGUUUGACUGGCUUUGCAUCUUCUCGGACGUGUAGUUUGUGCUCGGCGAAUUCCUUCGGAACGCCCGGCAUGUCCUUGGGGGACCAUGCAAAGAUGUCCCGAUUCUCACGGAGGAAAUCGGCGAGCUCGCCUUCCUAUUUGCUGUUUAGGUUUGCCCCGAUGACGGCAAACCUCUCUGGGUGCUCGGGGUCAAGAGGUAUCUUCUUCGUCUCCUUGGCCGGCUGGAAAGAUCCUUGAGCAUCAUGCUCCUUGGGAUCGGGGGACAAGGCCGACUGCUUGCCGACUAUGGCCACGACUCGGUCCAACAUCUUCUUUUCUUCGGCAAUCACAAGGGACUCGGCCAGCCGGCUGCUGGCUGCUGCGCACUCAGAGGACUUCUUGUAAUCGCCGGCUACGGUGAUGACGCCUUUGGUGCUUGGUAUCUUCAUCUUGAGGUAUGCAUAGUGGGGAACUGCCAUGAAUUUGGCCAAGGCAGGUCGGCCAAGCAAUGCAUGGUAAGGGCUCUCCAGGUCCACCACUUCAAACCAGAUCGCUUCUCGGCGGAAAUGCUCCUUGUCCCCAAAAAGCACAUCAAUCUUGAUCUUGCCAAUGGGGGCGCAGGACAGGCCGGGUACGAUGCCGUGGAACAUAGUCCGAGUAGGCAUGAGUUGCUUCGUCUUGACAUUCAGCUUCUCCAUGGUGUCACGGUGUAGGAUGUUGAUGCUGCUCCCGCCGUCUAUCAGCACGCGGGAGAAUCGGGCAGCGCGUCUGUCCGUUGCAAGGGUGGCAUCCAAAACCAACGCAUAAGAGCCGGGAGACGACAUCACCUCUGGGUGGCCGGUCCGACUCCAGCUGAUAGGUUUUCCUGACCAGUGCAUGUGCUCGGCGGGGUUGGCAGCAACCAUGUUGACUUCUUGGUGCUCUCGGCAUUUGCUGCGCCGGUCUUCGGGCUGGCUUGUAAAGACGAUAUAGGCGGCAUGCUCGUCGGGGAACUCAUCAUGCACGGCUCCGACUGCGGGCCGAGUGGCCGGCGGCUGCGUAGCCGGAGGCGGCGGACCAGCAGGCGGAGGCGGUGCGAGCCCUUCGCCUUUAGAGAUCCAGGUAAGCCAGUGGCACUUCCGGGUUGUGUGGUUGGACGGCUUCGUGCCGCUGUGGAACUUGCAUGGGGCGUCGAGAGUUUGCUCGUAGGAGAAGGCCGGCUGCCAAGCCGACCUGCCGCCCUUGGGUUUCUUGGGCGCGGGCCGCCCUUCGGGCGGCACGUCUUCGACUGUGGCCACCUGCCGACUGGCGGGAGGCGGUGCGGGGCCCUUGCGCUUGUGGUCGUUCGAGUGUGGGCGUCGGCCGGAAUCCCCAGCCGACGUCUUGGGCGCCGGGUUGAGUACUUUUCCGGACGCGUCUACCCGGAGCUCGGUCUUCAUUGAGGAGUCGGCGGUGGCGUACUUGUCCGCUAUGUCCAGCAGCUCAUCGAGGGUAGUCGGCUCGUCGCAGAGAAGCUUGUGCUUGAGGAGGGUGCCUUCUCGGCACCCGGCUGUGAAGUAUUCUAUGGCUUGCACCUCGUGCACCCCUUCGCAAGAGUUGCGGAGCUCGGCCCAACGCGUGAGGUAGUCGCGAGUUGACUCGGCGGGGCCUUGUACGCACAAGGAGAGCUGUCUGGGCUUGGGAGCCCGCUUGUAGGUGCUGGUGAAGUUGCGGACGAAAGCUUCUGUGAAAUCUAGCCAGCUAUUGAUGCUGUGUGGUUUGAGGCUGUUGAGCCAGGUCCGCGUCGUGCCUUGUAGCAUGAGGGGCACGUACUUCACGGCAACGCGCCGGUUGCUGUUGGCUAUGCUAACCGCCGUGGAGUAGUCGAUCAACCAAUCUUCUGGCUUCAUGGAGCCGUUGUACUUGGGCGUGUCUCUUGGGAGCGAGAACCCUUUGGGGAAGGGCUCGUCGCGGAUGCGGGGGCCGAAGCAAGGCGGACCGACAUCGUCUUCUUCUUCCAGCGCCAGGGAUCGCGCCAGGCGGUCGAUCCGAUGGCGGGCUUUGUUCUCGCCGACUCCUUCGCGGCGACCUAGCCGGCCGCUGAGAUUCGGAUGCGCAACAGGCGGCGGGGUGGGAUAUCUCUCCCCACGGGGCCGGGGCAGAGGCGGGUUGCCCCGCCACUCCACGGCCCGAGGGUGGCCUUCUGCGUCUCGCUCGAUGGAGAUCCGGGUUUGGCUUCGGCUGGCAGCUGGCUCUUUCUCGCGCCGCGCGCGGUCUCUACCCGCAGUCGGCGUCCGGGAGGUCGCGCCGUGAUCUCGGCGCAGGGGAGGGCUUUCCGCGUGGGUGUCGGCUUAGUGCCGCUGCGCGGCUGCAUCGAUCAGCUGCUGGAUGCGUCGGGUCAUGUGGGGGAGUUCUUCGGCCCCCAGUCCGUCUAGCUCGUCUACGGCCGCCUGGGCGGCACGCAGGUUUUCAAGUGGAGUGGCGUAGACUGGGCGGUCGACUCCUAACGUGUCGGCAACGACAGCGCCGCGCUGUCUGACGACGCCGGCCCGGCUAGGCCCGCCUGGGGGCGGCAUGCCAAAGGAGGCGCGGUCGGCCUCGCGUCGGUGGGCCUCAGCAAGGUGUCUCAUGGAAACCAACUUCCGGCCCUCCGCGAGGAGGGCGAGGCGGCGAGCCUCCAAUGCUUCUGCGUCGGCGUCGGGCGGGAGGGGGAUGGACAAGUCAUGGACCGCCGCAUGCGGGGCGUCGUGGGCGCUCUCGUCAGCAGCGCCGUCGUGGCCGAUGACCAUCACCUCGGUGGUGACAGCAUCGCAUCCAUCGGCUCGGGGAAGCGGGUCAUUGUAGAUCGUGACGUUGGUGGGGAAGGUGUCGAAUGAGGCCGUGUCAGAGUCGACAGGCAUCGGAUCGGUGGAGCCAACCGACUCCAAGUCCACAGCAGGCUCGCCGGAAACAUGGAGCUGGCCGAGGAGGUUGACGAGGUGGUCGGUGCCCGCGUCGGAGGCGAGCUCGUCGGAGAUGAGGGUCUUGUCGAGGAGAUCAGCGAGGCUGCUCGCUGCGCAGGCGUUGGUGACGCCUUGCAGCGCGUCGUGGCAAGCGCCAUCGGGCGUGCCGGGCUGGCUACGCUCGCGGGGGAGGAAGAGGGUUCCCGUCCAGAACAGGUCUCCGGACGACGGUGCACCUGGCCCCACGGUGGGCGCCAAAUGUCGGGUGGUAGGUGCGACAUAUGCCAACGGGUGGCUUAUCAUUGUGGGAGCCAGUAAAACAUCGCCGGUGCCUGGAACCGGGAUGAGGCGAAGACAUGCACGUCGGCGAAUCUUACCCAACUUCGGGGCCCUCCUGGAGAUAACACCCCUACUGCUGCUCUGCGGGGUCUCCGCAUGAUCACUAGAUGAACAAGUAGCUACACGAUGCUCCUUGAGCUGUUUGGCGAGAGGAGGAUGAAGGGCUCUGCUUGCUCUCUUCUCUUCCCUAUGUGGCGCCUAAAACUAGCAGGGAUCCAUCCCCUUGCAUGGGUGUCCCGGGGGGUUUAUAUAGGCCUACCCCCCGGGGGUACAAUGGUAAUCUGGCUGGGCGUGGGGCCCAGCCGUCUGUGUCUUCGCUCUCCGGCUUCUGCGCCGGCUGCUGGGGCCCGCCGGUUGGUGGGUCCCGCCGGCUGCUGGCUCCUUGGUCGACAGGCAGGCCCCACUGUCCAGGGCCUUGUCGGUGGCUGGUUACUAUUGCUCAAUCUUGGUGACGAGGGCUUCGCCGAGGUAAGCGUGGCUACAGUGCUGUCGUCCGGCGGGUGACCACUGUAGCCUCACUGCGUCUUAUCUCCUUAAUGGGGCGUCCCCUUCGAGGGGGUGGCAAGCCGGCUGGAAAGAGCCGGCUCCGUCUUGGGCCGACUGGGGGAGGCCAGGCUGCCUUCGGGUGUUUCUCUGCCCGAAGGGGCCCACCGCCCGUGGGCCGUACUGGUAGCCCGUCGUGGAUGACAUCAGGGUCAUCGUGGCAACAGUGCUGCGCCGGACAGGUCAUGGCCACCCGUACGGCGCACUGUGCCAGGCGCGCUCCGGGAUUCGGGGGUGGCAGGCUUCACUGUAGCCACACCCCGUCACAUCGCCGUUAUGUGGAUGCAGACUUCGAGGGUACGGUCUUGACCGCUUUACGGGAGCCGGCUCCUUGGAGUCGGCCUUCUCGCAGCCGGCUCCUCGGAGCCGGCCCUCCCGCGGCUUUCUUCAUGAGGGCUGAAGUCGGGCCGCCUUCCAAUAGCCGGCCUGGGAGACAGCCGGCCAGGGGAAGGCGGCCCCAUGUCUUGGAUUCUUGAGAGCCGGAUCGACUCGUAAUUUUUUCAGAAAGGCCAGGGGGAGCCGGCUGGGCUACCCGUGGUCACUUACUCCGACAGGGAAGAAGAAAGGGAACUUCAAGAAGAACAGCAAACAAGUUGCUGCUCAGGAGAAGAAACCCAAGUCUGGACCUAAGCCUGAGACUGAGUGCUUCUACUGCAAGCAGACUGGUCACUGGAAGCGGAACUGCCCCAAGUAUUUGGCGGAUAAGAAGGAUGGCAAAGUGAACAAAGGUAUAUGUGAUAUACAUGUUAUUGAUGUGUACCUUACUAAUGCUCGCAGUAGCACCUGGGUAUUUGAUACUGGUUCUGUUGCUAACAUUUGCAACUCGAAACAGGGGCUAUGGAUUAAGCGAAGAUUGGCUAAGGACCAGGUGACGAUGCGCGUGGGAAAUGGUUCCAAAGUCGAUGUGCUCGCGGUCGGCACGCUACCUCUACAUCUACCUUCGGGAUUAGUAUUAGACCUAAAUAAUUGUUAUUUGGUGCCAGCGUUGAGCAUGAACAUUAUAUCUGGAUCUUGUUUGAUGCGAGACGGUUAUUCAUUUAAAUCAAAGAAUAAUGGUUGUUCUAUUUAUAUGAGUAAUAUCUUUUAUGGUCAUGCACCCUUGAAGAGUGGUCUAUUUUUGAUGAAUCUCGAUAGUAGUGAUACACAUAUUCAUAAUGUUGAAAUCAAAAGAUGUAGAGUUGAUAAUGAUAGUGCAACUUAUUUGUGGCACUGCCGUUUAGGUCAUAUCGGUGUAAAGCGCAUGAAGAAACUCCAUACCGAUGGACUUUUGGAACGACUUGAUUAUGAAUCACUUGGUACUUGUGAAUCGUGCCUCAUGGGUAAGAUGACUAAAACGCCGUUCUCCGGUACUAUGGAGAGAGCAACGGUUUUGUUGGAAAUCAUACAUACAGAUGUAUGUGGUCCAAUGAAUGUUGAGGCUCAUGGAGGAUAUCAUUAUUUUCUCACCUUCACAGAUGAUUUAAGCAGAUAUGGGUAUAUCUACUUAAUGAAACAUAAGUCUGAAACAUUUGAAAAGUUCAAAGAAUUUCAGAGUGAAGUUCAAAAUCAUCGUAACAAGAAAAUGAAGUUUCUACGAUCUGAUCGUGGAGGAGAAUAUUUGAGUUACGAGUUUGGUCUACAUUUGAAACAAUGAGGAAUAGUUUCACAACUCACGCCACCCGGAACACCACAGCGUAAUGGUGUGUCCGAACGUCGUAAUCGUACUUUAUUAGAUAAGGUGCGAUCUACGAUGUCUCUUACUGAUUUACCGUUAUCGUUUUGGGGUUAUGCUUUAGAGACGGCUGCAUUCACGUUAAAUAGGCCACCAUUGAAAUCCGUUGAGACGACGCCUUAUGAACUGUGGUUUGGCAAGAAACCAAAGUUGUCGUUUCUGAAAGUUUGGGGCUGCGAUGCUUAUGUGAAAAAGCUUCAACCUGAUAAGCUCGAACCCAAAUCGGAGAAAUGUGUCUUCAUAGGAUACCCAAAGGAGACUGUUGGGUACACUUUCUAUCACAGAUCCGAAGGCAAGACUUUUGUUGCUAUAUUCGGUGUUUUUCUAGAGAAGGAGUUUCUCUUGAAAGAAGUGAGUGGGAGAAAAGUAGAAGUUGAUGAGGUAACUGUACCUGCUCCCUUAUUGGAAAGUAGUACUUCAUAGAAACCGGUUUCUGUGAAACCUACACCAAUUAGUGAGGAAGUUAAUGAUAAUGAUCAUGAAACUUCAGAUCAAGUUACUACCGAACCUCGUAGAUCAACCAGAGUAAGAUCCGCACCAGAGUGGUACGGUAAUCCUGUUCUGGAAGUCAUGCUACUAGAUCAUGAUGAACCUACGAACUAUGAAGAAGUGAUGGUGAGCCCAGAUUCCGCAAAAUGGCUAGAAGCCAUGAAAUCUGAGAUGGGAUCCAUGUAUGAGAACAAAGUGUGGACUUUGGUUGACUUGCCCGUUGAUCGGCAAGCAAUUGAGAAUAAAUGGAUCUUCAAGAAGAAGACUGACAUUGACGGUAAUGUUACUGUCUAUAAAGCUCGACUUGUUGCAAAAGGUUUUCGACAAGUUCAAGGGAUUGACUACGAUGAGACCUUCUCACCCGUAGCGAUGCUUAAGUCUGUCCGAAUCAUGUUAGCAAUUGCCGCAUUUUAUGAUUAUGAAAUUUGGCAAAUGGAUGUCAAAACUGCAUUCCUGAAUGGAUUUCUGGAAGAAGAGUUGUAUAUGAUGCAACAAGAAGGUUUUGUCGAUCCAAAGGGAGCUAACAAAGUGUGCAAGCUCCAGCGAUCCAUUUAUGGACUGGUGCAAGCCUCUCGGAGUUGGAAUAAACGCUUUGAUAGUGUGAUCAAAGCAUUUGGUUUUGUACAGACUUUUGGAGAAGCAUGUAUUUACAAGAAAGUGAGUGGGAGCUCUGUAGCAUUUCUGAUAUUAUAUGUGGAUGACAUAUUAUUGAUUGGAAAUGAUAUAGAAUUUCUGGAUAGCAUAAAGGGAUACUUGAAUAAGAGUUUCUCAAUGAAAGACCUCGGUGAAGCUGCUUACAUAUUGGGCAUUAAGAUCUAUAGACAUAGAUCAAGACACUUAAUUGGACUUUCACAAAGCACAUACCUUGACAAGGUUUUGAAGAAGUUCAAAAUGGAUUAAGCAAAGAAAGGGUUCUUGCCUGUGUUACAAGGUGUGAAGUUGAGUAAGACUCAAUGUCCAACCACCACAGAAGAUAGAGAGAAAAUGAAAGAUGUUCCCUAUGCUUCAGCCAUAGGCUCUAUCAUGUAUGCAAUGUUGUGUACCAGACCUGAUGUGUGCCUUGCUAUAAGUCUAGCAGGGAGGUACCAAAGUAAUCCAAGAGUGGAUCACUGGACAAUGGUCAAGAACAUCCUGAAAUACCUGAAAAGGACUAAGGAUAUGUUUCUCGUAUAUGGAGGUGACAAAGAGCUCAUCGUAAAUGGUUACGUUGAUGCAAGCUUUGACACUGAUCCGGACGAUUCUAAAUCGCAAAUCGGAUACGUGUUUUUACUGAACGGUGGAGCUGUCAGUUGGUGCAGUUCUAAACAAAGCGUCGUGGCGGGAUCUACAUGUGAAGCAGAGUACAUAGCUGCUUCGGAAGCAGCAAAUGAAGGAGUCUGGAUGAAGGAGUUCAUAUCCGAUCUAGGUGUCAUACCUAGUGCAUCGGGUCCAAUGAAAAUCUUUUGUGACAAUACUGGUGCAAUUGCCUUGGCAAAGGAAUCCAGAUUUCACAAGAGAACCAAGAACAUCAAGAGAUGCUUCAAUUCCAUUCGGGAUUUAGUCCAAGUGGGAGACAUAGAAAUUUGCAAGAUACAUACGGAUCUGAAUGUUGCAGACCCGCUGACUAAGCCUCUUCCACGAGCAAAACAUGAUCAGCACCAAGGCUCCAUGGGUGUUAGAAUCAUUAUUGUGUAAUCUAGAUUAUUGACUCUAGUGCAAGUGGGAGACUGAAGGAAAUAUGCCCUAGAGGUAAUAAUAAAGUUAUUAUUUAUUUCCUUAUAUCAUGAUAAAUGUUUAUUAUUCAUGCUAGAAUUGUAUUAACCGGAAACAUAAUACAUGUGUGAAUACAUAGACAAACAUAGUGUCACUAGUAUGCCUCUACUUGACUAGCUCGUUGAUCGAAGAUGGUUAUGUUUCCUAACCAUAGACAUGAGUUGUCAUUUGAUUAACGAGAUCACAUCAUUAGGAGAAUGAUGUGAUUGACUUGACCCAUUUCGUUAGCUUAGCACUUGAUCAUUUAGUUUGUUGCUAUUGCUUUCUUCAUGACUUAUACAUGUUCCUAUGACUAUGAGAUUAUGCAACUCCCGUUUACCGGAGGAACACUUUGUGUGCUACCAAACAUCACAACGUAACUGGGUGAUUAUAAAGGUGCUCUACAGGUGUCUCCGAAGGUACUUGUUGGAUUGGCGUAUUUCGAGAUUAGGAUUUGUCACUCCGAUUGUCGGAGAGGUAUCUCUGGGCCCUCUCGGUAAUGCACAUCACAUAAGCCUUGCAAGCAUUGCAACUAAUAAGUUAGUUGCGGGAUGAUGUAUUACGGAACGAGUAAAGAGACUUGCCGGUAAUGAGAUUGAACUAGGUAUUGAGAUACCGACGAUCAAAUCUCGGGCAAGUAACAUACCGAUGACAAAGGGAACAACGUAUGUUGUUAUGCGGUCUGACCGAUAAAAGAUCUUCGUAGAAUAUGUAGGAGCCAAUAUGAGCAUCCAGGUUCCGCUAUUGGUUAUUAACCGGAGACGUGUCUCGGUCAUGUCAACAUUGUUCUCGAACCCGUAGGGUCCACACGCUUAACGUUACGAUGACAGUUUCAUUAUGAGUUUAUAUAUUUUGAUGUACCGAAGGUUGUUUGGAGUCC
rnacentral:lncRNA from 1 species